CCUACGGGAGGCAGCAGUGGGGAAGUCUUGCGCAAUGGGCGAAAGCCUGACGCAGCCAUGCCGCGUGAAUGAUGAAGGUCUUAGGAUUGUAAAAUUCUUUCAGUAGGGACGAUAAUGACGGUACCUACAGAAGAAGCCCCGGCUAACUUCGUGCCAGCAGCCGCGGUAAUACGAAGGGGGCUAGCGUUGCUCGGAAUUACUGGGCGUAAAGGGAGCGUAGGCGGGUUAUCAAGUUGGAGGUGAAAGCCCAGGGCUCAACCUUGGAAUUGCCUUCAAAACUGAUAGCCUAGAGUAUGAUAGAGGUAUGUGGAACUCCGAGUGUAGAGGUGAAAUUCGUAGAUAUUCGGAAGAACACCAGUUGGCGAAGGCGACAUACUGGGUC
rnacentral:rRNA from 1 species